rnacentral:rRNA from 1 species
UACGAAGGGGGCGAGCGUUGUUCGGAUUUACUGGGCGUAAAGGGCGCGUAGGCGGUCAGCACAAGUCAGUUGUGAAAUCUCCGAGCUUAACUCGGAAAGGUCAACUGAUACUGUGCGACUAGAGUGCGGAAGGGGCAACUGGAAUUCUUGGUGUAGCGGUGAAAUGCGUAGAUAUCAAGAGGAACACCUGCGGCGAAGGCGGGUUGCUGGGCCGACACUGACGCUGAUGCGCGAAAGCCAGGGGAGCGAACGGG